GACAUCAGUGGCUGGGGCAGCUAUCUUGAGCUGGAGUUGCCCAGCCUGGCCAAUAGCUGGAAAAGUCUCUUUGGAGAUUUGGACCCAUUUCUGAAAACCAGUUUGCCUUGGACUCCUACCCCCACCCAGAGCCCUCCAUAUCCAUUUAACCCAAAUCCCCAACUCCAGGGAUGAUUACAGGUUGGGGGAGCCCCGAGAGCAAGGGAGGUGAGGAAACUGAUGUCCGGAAAGCAGCAGGCAUCAGCGGAGACACUCCUAGCCCUGCUGCCUUCUCACUGCACACACUUCCAGAUUCAGAAAAACCAGAAAGGAAACCCACCAUGCAGGACUGUCCAUGCGGUGGCUCUUCCUGUGGCCUCAUUUCUAAGCGUUUCCAAGGACCUCACCAUAGUCCAGGACCACAAGCCAAGGCUACCCCAGUGUCCUUACCAUCCUGGGAAUGGGAGGAGCCAGGCCCAGCUUUGUCCUGUCUGCCCCCCUGGAAGCCUUCCCUGAGCGCUGGCCUCUUAUUUACCUGUCUUUGUCUCUGGCUUGUUGGUCCCUGUCUCUUGUCUGAUUAGGAAACCCCUGAGGUCAGAAUCUUUGCCUCCCCAAUCAGAUUGUCAGGCAGGAGUGGGGGGCAGAUGCGGGGUCAUUUCUACAUGUGAGACCAAAUAGUGGUCCUGUUUAAGUUGAUCCCCUUGAAAGAAAAUUCUGGAAAAGCUCCUCAGAUGCACAGAUACACAGAAUCAGACCUUGGGCAAAGGGUGUAGUUGUGCUUUUGAAGCUGUGCAACCUUGGACAGAAUACUUGACUUCUCUGUGCCUCAGUUUCCUAAUCUGUGAAGUGGGGUUAGUCAUGUAUCGAUACCUUCCCCAUGAGGUUGAUGGGAGGAUUGAGUUAAUAUAAAGCAUUUCAGACAGUGCCAG